UACGUAGGGUGCGAGCGUUGUCCGGAAUUAUUGGGCGUAAAGAGCUUGUAGGCGGUUUGUCGCGUCUGCCGUGAAAAUUCGAGGCUCAACCUCGAACUUGCGGUGGGUACGGGCAGACUAGAGUGUGGUAGGGGAGACUGGAAUUCCUGGUGUAGCGGUGAAAUGCGCAGAUAUCAGGAGGAACACCGAUGGCGAAGGCAGGUCUCUGGCCACUACUGACGCUGAGAAGCGAAAGCAUGGGAGCGAACAGG
rnacentral:rRNA from 1 species